CUCCUUCAAGCUUCUUAGUUUGGACUUGGGCGUGGGUGUAUAACCCAGCCUGAAAUAUUGGGUGGAGCAGUUUGUAUCUGCUAGUUGACGCCAAUGAGUUAGGUUCUGCCAGUUCGUUGGAAAGACUAGGGGGUGACGCUGAGCCAAGACCAGCCCAUAGCAUUUUAA
rnacentral:misc_RNA from 1 species